rnacentral:rRNA from 1 species
UGCGCCUUGCCAGCCCGCUCAGAAACUUAAAGGAAUUGACGGGGACCCGCACAAGCGGUGGAUGAUGUGGUUUAAUUCGAUGCAACGCGAAAAACCUUACCCACCUUUGACAUGUACGGAAGUUGCCAGAGAUGGCUUCGUGCUCGAAAGAGAGCCGUAACACAGGUGCUGCAUGGCUGUCGUCAGCUCGUGUCGUGAGAUGUUGGGUUAAGUCCCGCAACGAGCGCAACCCUUGUCAUUAGUUGCUACGAAAGGGCACUCUAAUGAGACUGCCGGUGACAAACCGGAGGAAGGUGGGGAUGACGUCAAGUCCUCAUGGCCCUUAUAGGUGGGGCUACACACGUCAUACAAUGGCUGGUACAAAGGGUUGCCAACCCGCGAGGGGGAGCUAAUCCCAUAAAGCCAGUCGUAGUCCGGAUCGCAGUCUGCAACUCGACUGCGUGAAGUCGGAAUCGCUAGUAAUCGUGAAUCAGAAUGUCACGGUGAAUACGUUCCCGGGCCUU